rnacentral:snoRNA from 2 species
UCUAGAAAGCAUCAGGGGUCACGACCUUGCAUAUCCUUGAUUUCUAAGGAGACAGUCCUUUAACCCUGGUUGAUGACUCAUUGCCGUGUGAUCAGAGCGUGAUUAGCGGCUAGGUUUGUCUUCGGACUCUCCGUGUUGUAAAGGAUCGUUACCUAGCCUAGCCUGGUCUUGACCACGGUUAGGGUGGUUGCACGGUUGUCUGACGGUUC